ensembl:lncRNA LINC02532 long intergenic non-protein coding RNA 2532
AUUGUGCAACAUGGUUAUGGGUACUACAGUGGAUGUGAGUGUGUAGACCUUGUACAAUAGAGCUUAUAGGCUAAUGAGAAGACAGGAAGAAACAACAGGAACACAUAUAGCUGGAAUGCAGAUGGGAUCUGUGCUACUUACGCUAGCCAUGGGAUGAUUAGAACAAGAUAAGAGACAUGAGGAAGACUUCUUCAAGGAGGUGCUCAAGCCAUGUUUUGGAAAAGAGAACUCAAGGUCUGGCAGGGAGAAAGGAGCAAGACUGCCUUUUGUCAGUCUCAUUUGCAGGCCCCCAGCUGGAGAACCCAGGAGGAAGAGGAAAAAAGUUUUUUCCUCCUCUACACUCCCCAUGCAUGACUAAAGAGUAGGAGGAGUCAGCAAGGCAGACAUAUAUAGUACCCAGGAGGUGGACAAACAACUGCCUUGGUGGAAACUCUGUCCUUUCUGGACUUAUCCUGGUGCCACUGAGACUGUGCAGGUCCCACACUUACAGGGAAAGCAUCACCCGAAAGUGAGAAUGCCUAGAGGCAGGAAUCAUGGAGGCUUCCUUAACCGUCUGUCUGCAACAGCAGGUGCUAGAGAUGACACUGCAGAGUAGAGAACAAAGGAAUCUUAGUAAUUGUUCAAUCCAAUCUCCACACUUUAAAGAUGAAGAAACUGGUAUUGAGAAAAAUACACAGCUUAUCCAAGGUUGCACUGCUGGUUGGUAGCUGAGAUGAAUUUAGAACCCACAUCUGAUGACUACACCAUAUUGCUCCCAGUUUUCCUGUCUGUUCCACAUGUAAAAGUCUGACUCUUCACUUCUCCUUUGAGUAUAUAGACUUUUAACAUUUUUGUAUGUCAAGAUGGACUUUUCCUCAUACCCAGCCCCUGCCUUUUCUCCUCCCUUCAUACCUUGCAGGAUCUUUAACAGAAUUUAAAAGGAGUUUUUUGUUUUGUUUUGAUGUAUCUAAUAAAAGUCAAGGGAGGGAGAGGGCCAGUAUAAGCAAGAGUACAGUUUCCUAGUUUGUAGAUGCGGUAGUCUGAGGAAUCAGAAACACACAAAGGUUUGGAGAACUGGUACAUGCUCCCAGGUGGGAAGCCAGGACUCUUGGUAGGAUCUUGAGGACAAGGCAAAGGACAAUAAGAGAGCGAGGGGAUCCUAGAGGUGGAAUCAAGGAAGAGAAACUAGAGAGAGAAAAAGGAACUGGCUAUCCAUCCAUGAUGGAUCCUGUGUGGACUGAUGGGUGGCUUGGCAUCAUCCUUUAGUAGACUUCAUGUGGUUGAAUAAUUGGCCAAUGGAAGGAAUUUCUUUUUUGGUAACAGACUCUGUGUGUACAGUUAUGGGUCUUAAUUUAUAAUAAAAGGUUACAUUGAAAAUUGA